UACAGAGGUCUCAAGCGUUGUUCGGAUUCAUUGGGCGUAAAGGGUGCGUAGGUGGCAUGGUAAGUCGGAUGUGAAAUCCCGGGGCUCAACCCCGGAACUGCAUUCGAUACUGCUGCGCUAGAGUACUGGAGAGGAGAUUGGAAUUUACGGUGUAGCAGUGAAAUGCGUAGAUAUCGUAAGGAAGACCAGUGGCGAAGGCGGAUCUCUGGACAGUUACUGACACUGAGGUGCGAAAGCGUGGGGAGCAAACAGG
rnacentral:rRNA from 1 species